rnacentral:rRNA from 1 species
UACGAAGGGGGCUAGCGUUGCUCGGAAUCACUGGGCGUAAAGGGCGCGUAGGCGGAUAGUACAGUCAGGCGUGAAAUUCCUGGGCUCAACCUGGGGGCUGCGUUUGAUACGUAUUGUCUGGAGUUCGGAAGAGGGUCGUGGAAUUCCCAGUGUAGAGGUGAAAUUCGUAGAUAUUGGGAAGAACACCGGUGGCGAAGGCGGCGACCUGGUCCGAUACUGACGCUGAGGCGCGAAAGCGUGGGGAGCAAACAGG